rnacentral:lncRNA from 1 species
AUGCAGAGGAUGAAAACGAGCACCUCAGCCAAAAAAUGUUAUAAAUUUACAGACGAAAUGUAUUUAGUUUUGCGCACGUUCUUUUUGCAUCGUCAUGACCGUGAUAUUGAAGUUGUGAGGCAAACAACUUUGAACAUCGUUGAAUCAGGUGCAUCUAGCUGCGCCAACAGUCGUUGAGUUCAGAUUCUAUGCAAAUAGUAAAUUUAGAGGCGUAUCUUCUUAUUUUCUACACAACGUCCUUCACAACAUGAGUGGAAAUUUUGCUACGAGCUAGCUCGCACUGGUUGGAUGCAAACAUCAAGUUUUUAGAAGCAAAAUUUGUAACAUUAAAAAUUUUUAAAAAAUAUAUUUUUCAGGCACAAAACUCUCCUUAUUUUGAAAAUAGAGUUUUUGAGUUUUUAAAUGUUCUAGGUGAAUACAUACAUACUGGCACAAUACAUGUUCUCCUAAUUCUGAUUAUCAAAGUUCACAUAAGCUAUGCAUGGAAAAUCAAUUGAUACAUAUACAUUUUUUUAAGCAGGAGGCUGCCAGUGUCACUGGAAAAAAAGUAUGGUCAUAUGAACCAAACGUUCGGUUUAUAUGACCGAUAACUUACAGCUAGUUCGUUGGUACACUUUAUCGAGCGAGUUGGGUUACUCACCGAGUACCCAACCCGAACCGAGUCAGUUGGGUAGAUAUGAAACACCGAGCGUCAGUUCAUCCGACUGAACUUUUUCUCUUCGUGUAUUGGUAGACCUUUACAUUUAAGAGGAAGUGGCAAAAUCCAGAGUUACACAAAUUUAAAAAUAGAGCCUCAAAUGAAAAUUUAACAAAAGUAUCAACACAAGAAUAAAGGGUUACUUAAAUUUCGUUAGGCUCUCCGGGUACUAUGACCUUGUUAGUAUCUUCUAAUAUCUUGUUCAACCAUGUUUAGACCUCUACUUUUUCAGCUUUGACGAUACAGCGUCGUCCGUAGCUCGGUUAAAAUUUUUCAUCGUACAGAUCUUCUUUGUGAAAGGUCCUGUCCUUGACACCAACGUGCCUUUUAUCACCACCAUUGUUUCGUCCAAAUUUUUUAAUACUCCCACCUCUUUCUUUUCUAACUGCCCGAAAAUUUCUUAAAUGGCUCGCGAAACUAGCCGAAUGACCACAAAUAUAGAAGAUAAUAAUUGAGACUACCAAUAAAAAAACAAAAUUGGGCGUUGCCAUUCUACACGACGUGAAAAUCAGCAAUGAUGCACACAGAUGUUGCUCCGAAUUUACCGACAAAAUAUAUUAAGUUUCGCAUAAGUCCUAUGCGC